AGGCGUACCCUUGUGCGACCAGAAGCAGUGCCUUGUAUAUAUUUGUUGAGGGCACAUGUCUAUGUUCAAAGUACUGAGAAUGACCAAAUCUGUUCCACUGGGAUUGCGAGCAGUGAUUCUACGACUGAUAUUAACAUCGCAGUUUAUUCACAAUCCACAACAGCAAUAGACAGUGUUGCUUCUGAGACAGAUGUUUUAUGUGCUUCUUCAAAUUUGAUAAAAAGCACUACUUGUAGUACGAGCACAGAAUCUCAGGAUCUUGCUGAAGAUGAUGCGGAUGGUAUAAACGUCGAUUAUACUUAUUUUGGAACAAUAGAAGGCAAUUAUGAAACUCCUGUGAAAUGUCAAACUCCUUUGAUGAGGCAAAAUGUGCAUUCUAGUGCCAAAA